rnacentral:rRNA from 1 species
CACUGGUGUUCGGGUUGUGUCGCCAGACGCAUUGCCCGGUAGCUAUGUUCGGACGGGAUAACCGCUGAAAGCAUCUAAGCGGGAAGCCCCCUUCAAGAUGAGACUUCCCUUGCCCCCUGAGGGCACUAAAGAGCCGUUAAAGACUAUGACGUUGAUAGGUUGGGUGUGUAAGUGCUGUGAGGCAUUGAGCUAACCAAUACUAAUGACUCGUGCGGCUUGACCAU